rnacentral:rRNA from 1 species
UACGUAGGGGGCAAGCGUUGUCCGGAAUCAUUGGGCGUAAAGAGCGUGUAGGCGGCCCGAUAAGUCCGUCGUGAAAGCCCAGGGCUCAACCCUGGGAUGCCGGUGGAAACUGUCGGGCUAGAGUCCGGAAGAGGCGAGUGGAAUUCCUGGUGUAGCGGUGAAAUGCGCAGAUAUCAGGAGGAACACCGAUGGCGAAGGCAGCUCGCUGGGACGGUACUGACGCUGAGACGCGAAAGCGUGGGGAGCGAACAGG